UACGAAGGGUGCAAGCGUUGUUCGGAAUUACUGGGCGUAAAGGGUUCGUAGGCGGGAAGAUAAGUUAAGUGUGAAAUCCCCAGGCUCAACCUGGGACGUGCACUUAAAACUGUCUUUCUUGAGUGUUGGAGAGGGUGGUGGAAUUGCUGGUGUAGGAGUGACAUCCGUAGAGAUCAGCAGGAACAUCGGAGGCGAAAGCGACUGCCUGGCCAAACACUGACGCUGAGGAACGAAAGCGUGGGGAGCAAACAGG
rnacentral:rRNA from 1 species